rnacentral:lncRNA from 1 species
UUAGAAUGAGUUAGAGUUACUUUUUUUUUUUUUUACAAAGGAUUAAGAUUAUUUCGAAACACUAAUGGGGGAUUUAUUUUUUUAAUAUGUUGGAUUUUAUCGAAAAAAGUUUACCACUAUAUUUAGAAGGUAAUGAAAUUCAUUUAUUUAUAUCGAAACAAACAAUAGAACUCAAAAAACUAAUUUCACCAGCAUCAAAUUAUACCAAAACAAGCAGAAGAACUAAUUGAAUUUAACUUUCAAACCCUACGAAUUAUCUCAAAACAAACGACAAAAAAUAAUCACACUUCGAAAAAAUUCAAACAGCACCGCACUUGAGCUAUGAGCCUAAGAUUAGAUCUAAAAAUUCGUCAAUCCAAACGCCCUUUAU